rnacentral:rRNA from 1 species
UACGAAGGGGGCUAGCGUUGCUCGGAAUCACUGGGCGUAAAGCGCACGUAGGCGGCUUCUUAAGUCAGGGGUGAAAUCCUGGAGCUCAACUCCAGAACUGCCUUUGAUACUGGAAAGCUCGAGUCCGGGAGAGGUGAGUGGAACUGCGAGUGUAGAGGUGAAAUUCGUAGAUAUUCGCAAGAACACCAGUGGCGAAGGCGGCUCACUGGCCCGGUACUGACGCUGAGGUGCGAAAGCGUGGGGAGCAAACAGG